rnacentral:rRNA from 1 species
ACGGGUAAUGGCGUGCCUUUUGUAGAAUGAACCGGCGAGUUGCGUUAGUCAGCAAGGUUAAGUCAGAAAAGACGGAGCCGUAGCGAAAGCGAGUCUGAAGAGGGCGAGCAGUUGGCUGACGCAGACCCGAAACCAAGUGACCUACCCAUGACCAGGUUGAAGGCGCGGUAAAACGCGCUGGAGGACCGAACCCACGUAAGUUGAAAAUUGCGGGGAUGAGUUGUGGGUAGCGGUGAAAUUCCAAACGAACUUGGAGAUAGCUGGUUCUCUCCGAAAUAGCUUUAGGGCUAGCCUCGCAAAGAGGAUGCUGGAGGUAGAGCUCUGUUUGGACUAGGGGCCCGUCAAGGGUUACUGAAUUCAGAUAAACUGCGAAUUCCAGACAUUUAUGUGCGGGAGUCAGACUGCGAGUGAUAAGAUCCGUAGUCGAAAGGGAAACAGCCCAGAUCACCAGUUAAGGUCCCAAAAUUCAUGCUAAGUGGAAAAGGAUGUGGAGUUGCGCAGACAACUAGGACGUUGGCUCAGAAGCAGCCAUCAUUCAAAGAGUGCGUAAUAGCUCACUAGUCGAGUGACGCCGCGCCGAAAAUUUACCGGGGCUAAGCAUGAUACCGAAACUGUGGAUGUGCAUUUAUGCACGUGGUAGGAGAGCGUUCUAGCGGCGGUGAAGCAUGACCGAGAGGACAUGUGGAGCUUCUAGAAGUGAGAAUGCCGGUAUGAGUAACGAAAGACAGGUGAGAAUCCUGUCCGCCGCAAGACUAAGGUUUCC